rnacentral:rRNA from 1 species
UUGNGAAGGCAGGUUACUAAGCAACAACUGACGCUGAUGGACGAAAGCGUGGGGAGCGAACAGGAUUAGANNCCUGGUAGNNNACGCNGUAAACGAUGCUAACUCGUUUUUGGAAUGUAAGUUUCAGAGACUAAGCGAAAGUGAUAAGUUAGCCACCUGGGGAGUACGAACGCAAGUUUGAAACUCAAAGGAAUUGACGGGGGCCCGCACAAGCGGUGGAUUAUGUGGUUUAAUUCGAUGAUACGCGAGGAACCUUACCAAGGCUUAAAUGGGAAAUGACAGGUUUAGAAAUAGACUUUUCUUCGGACAUUUUUCAAGGUGCUGCAUGGUUGUCGUCAGCUCGUGCCGUGAGGUGUUAGGUUAAGUCCUGCAACGAGCGCGACCCCUGUCACUAGUUGCCAUCAUUAAGUUGGGGACUCUAGUGAGACUGCCUACGCAAGUAGAGAGGAAGGUGGGGAUGACGUCAAAUCAUCACGGCCCUUACGCCUUGGGCCACACACGUAAUACAAUGGCCGGUACAGAGGGCAGCUACACUGCGAAGUGAUGCAAAUCUCGAAAGCCGGUCUCAGUUCGGAUUGGAGUCUGCAACUCGACUCUAUGAAGCUGGAAUCGCUAGUAAUCGCGCAUCAGCCAUGGCGCGGUGAAUACGUUCCCGGGCCUUGUACACACCGCCCGUCAAGCCAUGGAAGUCUGGGGUACCUGAAGUCGGUGACCGUAACAGGAGCUGCCUAGGGUAAAACAGGUAACUAGGGCU